rnacentral:rRNA from 1 species
CAGUCGCCGCGGUAAUACAGAGGGUGCAAGCGUUAAUCGGAAUUACUGGGCGUAAAGCGCGCGUAGGUGGUUUGUUAAGUCGAAUGUGAAAUCCCCGGGCUCAACCUGGGAACUGCAUCCGAAACUGGCAAGCUAGAGUAUGGUAGAGGGUAGUGGAAUUUCCUGUGUAGCGGUGAAAUGCGUAGAUAUAGGAAGGAACACCAGUGGCGAAGGCGACUACCUGGACUGAUACUGACACUGAGGUGCGAAAGCGUGGGGAGCAAACAGGAUUAGAUACCCCUGUAGUCCCUGUCUCUUAUAC